UGAGGAAUAUUGGGCAAUGGGGGCAACCCUGACCCAGCAAUGCCGCGUGCAGGAGGACGCCCUUCGGGGUGUAAACUGCUUUUGUGGGGGAGCAGACAAGGAGCGUACCCCACGAAUAAGUCACGGCUAACUACGUGCCAGCAGCCGCGGUAAUACGUAGGUGGCGAACGUUAUCCGGAGUGACUGGGUGGAAAGGGUCCGUAGGCGGGAGAGCAAGUCUGACGUGAAAGCGCCUGGCUCAACUAGGCGACUGCGUUGGAAACUGCUGUUCUUGAAUCACGCAGAGGUCGGCGGAAUUCCCGGUGUAGUGGUGGAAUGCGUAGAGAUCGGGAGGAACCUCGAAAGCGAAGGCAGCCGACUGGGGGAUGAUUGACGCUGAGGGACGAAAGCGUGGGGAGCGAA
rnacentral:rRNA from 1 species